UGGGGAAUAUUGGACAAUGGGCGCAAGCCUGAUCCAGCCAUGCCGCGCGAGUGAUGAAGGCCCUAGGGUUGUAAAGCUCUUUCACCGGUGAAGAUAAUGACGGUAACCGGAGAAGAAGCCCCGGCUAACUUCGUGCCAGCAGCCGCGGUAAUACGAAGGGGGCUAGCGUUGUUCGGAUUUACUGGGCGUAAAGCGCACGUAGGCGGACUUUUAAGUCAGGGGUGAAAUCCCGGGGCUCAACCCCGGAACUGCCUUUGAUACUGGAAGUCGUGAGUAUGGUAGAGGUGAGUGGAAUUCCGAGUGUAGAGGUGAAAUUCGUAGAUAUUCGGAGGAACACCAGUGGCGAAGGCGGCUCACUGGACCAUUACUGACGCUGAGGUGCGAAAGCGUGGGGAGCAAACAGG
rnacentral:rRNA from 1 species